rnacentral:tRNA from 1 species
CAAAAUGUAGCUUAAUUUAUUAAAGCAUUUAGUUUACACCUAAAAGAUUUCAGUCAAUUCUGACCAUUUUGA